rnacentral:ncRNA from 1 species
GAGAGCAUGGUAUGAUGAAAGUUGUGAGUUGUGUUUGGGGGGGAGUUAUUGUCAAUUGUUGGCCUCUAUGAUAGAAUCAAUUAAGGAGGCCUGAGAGAUGGUGGUUUACCCUAU